rnacentral:rRNA from 2 species
GCUUACCAUGCAGUCGACGAUGAACCUGCAGCUUGCGCCUGGAUUAGUGGCGAACGGGUGAGUAACACGUGAGUAACCUGCCCUUAACUCUGGGAUAAGCCUGGGAAACUGGGUCUAAUACCGGAUAUGACUCCUCAUCGCAUGGUGGGGGGUGGAAAGCUUUUUGUGGUUUUGGAUGGACUCGCGGCCUAUCAGCUUGUUGGUGAGGUAAUGGCUUACCAAGGCGACGACGGGUAGCCGGCCUGAGAGGGUGACCGGCCACACUGGGACUGAGACACGGCCCAGACUCCUACGGGAGGCAGCAGUGGGGAAUAUUGCACAAUGGGCGCAAGCCUGAUGCAGCGACGCCGCGUGAGGGAUGACGGCCUUCGGGUUGUAAACCUCUUUCAGUAGGGAAGAAGCGAAAGUGACGGUACCUGCAGAAGAAGCGCCGGCUAACUACGUGCCAGCAGCCGCGGUAAUACGUAGGGCGCAAGCGUUAUCCGGAAUUAUUGGGCGUAAAGAGCUCGUAGGCGGUUUGUCGCGUCUGCCGUGAAAGUCCGGGGCUCAACUCCGGAUCUGCGGUGGGUACGGGCAGACUAGAGUGAUGUAGGGGAGACUGGAAUUCCUGGUGUAGCGGUGAAAUGCGCAGAUAUCAGGAGGAACACCGAUGGCGAAGGCAGGUCUCUGGGCAUUAACUGACGCUGAGGAGCGAAAGCAUGGGGAGCGAACAGGAUUAGAUACCCUGGUAGUCCAUGCCGUAAACGUUGGGCACUAGGUGUGGGGGACAUUCCACGUUUUCCGCGCCGUAGCUAACGCAUUAAGUGCUCCGCCUGGGGAGUACGGCCGCAAGGCUAAAACUCAAAGGAAUUGACGGGGGGCCCGCACAAGCGGCGGAGCAUGCGGAUUAAUUCGAUGCAACGCGAGAUCCUUACCAAGGCUUGACAUGAACNGUA